rnacentral:tRNA from 1 species
GAACUAAGAUAUUCAAGAAAAAGCUUCUAACUUUAUUCUUAAGCAGUGAAAUUCCGUUUUUAGUUCU